UUGACAGAUUGAUUGCUCUUUCUUACAUUCUGUGGGUUGUGGUGCAUGGCCGUUCUUAGUUGGUGGAGUGAUUUGUCUGGUUAAUUCCGUUAACGAACGAGACUACUAACUGUUUAUUUGCGUAAUAAUUACAUAUAUGUUUAUGCUUCUUUAAAAAACUAGUUUUGCAUAAAAAGCUUGAAGUUGGUUGCAAUAACAGGUCUGUGAUGCCCCUAGACGUUCUGGGCUGCGCACGGGCUACAAUAGGAGAAGUACAUUGAUAACUAUCUUAAUUCGAAAAGAGUUGAGAAAUCAUGAAAUUGUCUUAUAAUUGGGCUUACGUAUUGAAAUUUUUAUGUAUAAACAAGGAAUAUCUAGUAAGUCAAGGUCAUUAACGUUGUUUGAAUGCGUCCCUGCCC
rnacentral:rRNA from 1 species